rnacentral:rRNA from 1 species
UACGAAGGGGGCUAGCGUUGUUCGGAAUUACUGGGCGUAAAGCGCACGUAGGCGGAUCGGUCAGUUAGGGGUGAAAUCCCAGAGCUCAACUCUGGAACUGCCUUUAAUACUGCCGAUCUGGAGUCCGGAAGAGGUGAGUGGAAUUCCGAGUGUAGAGGUGAAAUUCGUAGAUAUUCGGAAGAACACCAGUGGCGAAGGCGACACACUGGGCCAUUACUGACGCUGAGGCGCGAAAGCGUGGGGAGCAAACAGG